rnacentral:rRNA from 1 species
GACGAACGCUGGCGGCGUGCCUAACACAUGCAAGUCGAACGGGGAGUUAGCAAUAACUCCUAGUGGCGAACGGGUGAGUAACGCGUAGACAACCUACCUUCUAGCUGGGGACAACACCGCGAAAGUGGUGCUAAUACCGAAUGUGGCAGCGUCUUUGCAUAAAGAUGCUACUAAAGGUGGCCUCUAUUUAUAAGCUACCGCUAGAAGAUGGGUCGGCGUCUGAUUAGGUAGUUGGCGGGGUAAAAGCCCACCAAGGCGACGAUCAGUAGCCGGUCUGAGAGGAUGAACGGCCACACUGGGACUGAGACACGGCCCAGACUCCUACGGGAGGCAGCAGUGGGGAAACUUCCGCAAUGGACGAAAGUCUGACGGAGCAACGCCGCGUGAGUGAUGAAGGCCUUCGGGUUGUAAAGCUCUGUUAUCGAGGAAGAACACCUCCUAUGUGAAUAAUGUGGGAGGAUGACGGUACUCGAGGAGGAAGCCACGGCUAACUACGUGCCAGCAGCCGCUGUAACAC